rnacentral:rRNA from 1 species
CCUACGGGUGGCAGCAGUGAGGAAUAUUGGUCAAUGGCCGGAAGGCUGAACCAGCCAUGCCGCGUGAAGGUCAGUGCCCUAUGGGCGUUAAACUUCUUUUGUGCGGGAGCAAUAAUGGUCACGUGUGGCCAGACGAGAGUACCGUACGAAUAAGCAUCGGCUAACUCCGUGCCAGCAUCCGCGGUAAUACGGGGGAUGCAAGCGUUAUCCGGAAUUAGUGGGUUGAAAGGGUGCGUAGGCUGUGAGGUAAGUCAGCGGUGAAAUGCCCCCGCUCAACGGGGUGAAGUGCCAUUGAUACUGCCUUGCUGGAAUGCUGAUGCCGUGGGAGGAAUGUGUGGUGUAGCGGUGAAAUGCAUAGAUAUCACACAGAACACCGAUUGCGAAGGCAUCUCACGAAUCCGCGAUUGACGCUGAUGCACGAAAGCGUGGGUAUCAAACAGGAGUAGAUACCCUAGUAGUC